UGUGGCUGGAUCACCUCCUUUUAGGGAGACCUACCCGCUCUAUAAUUGAAAGCACUCAGCAAAUAAAUCAAGAGUUGGUCAUCCCAAGGUCGUUCGGAGUAUGAGUGUCUGAGCUUUCAAACUAUUUUGGUUCGGUUUCAUGGGCUAUUAGCUCAGGUGGUUAGAGCGCACCCCUGAUAAGGGUGAGGUCCCUGGUUCGAGUCCAGGAUGGCCCACCUUAGCAAGGGAUUUUGGAUUGAGUCCAUCCAUCUAAGAUCCAGAAUUGCAUGGGGGUUUAGCUCAGUUGGUAGAGCGCCUGCUUUGCAAGCAGGAUGUCAGCGGUUCGAGUCCGCUAACCUCCACUGGGCGGAUUGCCCAACCCGAAGCAAGAUUCAAAUUGAGAGAUAAAUUCAGCAACUGGUCUGGAGAGUUCAGUAAGAACUCUUGAGGAAGCCUGCUGGGUUUUAUCCAGCCAGAACCUAGAAAACUGCAUAGCGAAAAAAUUGUCAGGUAGUAAAAUAUCAGACACCAAUGUUGUAGUGGUCAAGCUACAAAGGGCUGAUGGUGGAUACCUAGGCACACAGA
rnacentral:tRNA from 1 species